rnacentral:rRNA from 1 species
GUCCACGCCGUAAACGAUGAGUGCUUGGUGUAGCGGGUAUCGACCCCUGCUGUGCCGAAGUCAACACAUUAAGCACUCCGCCUGGGGAGUACGGUCGCAAGACUGAAACUCAAAGGAAUUGACGGGGGCCCCGCACAAGCGGUGGAGCAUGUGGUUUAAUUCGAAGCAACGCGCAGAACCUUACCUGGGUUUGAACUGCACCGGAAAGGCUCAGAGAUGAGCUCCCCUCUUCGGAGGUCGGUGUAGAGGUGCUGCAUGGCUGUCGU